rnacentral:snoRNA from 1 species
CAGCAUAAGUUGUGUCCUGCUGUAAAUAUGGACGGACAAUAAAGUUGUGAUGGUAUUUAGGAGAGCACUAUAUGGGUGAUAGAUGCUCAUAAAGGACCAUCAUACAUAC